AUAAGAGGUCCCGCCUGCCCUGUGACUAUAUGUUUAACGGCCGCGGUAUUUUGACCGUGCGAAGGUAGCGCAAUCACUUGUCUCUUAAAUGGAGACCUGUAUGAAUGGCAUCACGAGGGCUUAGCUGUCUCCCCUUUAAAGUCAAUGAAAUUGAUCUCCCCGUGCAGAAGCGGGGAUACGCUCGUAAGACGAGAAGACCCUAUGGAGCUUAAGAUAUAAAGCGACCCAUGUCAAACACCCCUUAUAAAGGAAUCGAACAAAAUGAGCCUCGCCGAAAUAUCUUCGGUUGGGGCGACCGCGGGGAAAGACAAAACCCCCACAUGGACUGGGGCCAAUAUGGCCUUAAAACCUAGACCCACACGUCAAACAAACAGUAUUUCUGACCACCAAAGAGCCGGCAAUGCCGAUCAACGGACCGAGUUACCCUAGGGAUAACAGCGCAAUCCCCUCCCAGAGCCCUUAUCGACAAGGGGGUUUACGACCUCGAUGUUGGAUCAGGACAUCCUAAUGGUGCAGCCGCUAUUAAGGGUUCGUUUGUUCAACGAUUAAU
rnacentral:rRNA from 1 species